rnacentral:rRNA from 1 species
UGCAGUGGGUACGGGCAGACUAGAGUGCGGUAGGGGAGAUUGGAAUUCCUGGUGUAGCGGUGGAAUGCGCAGAUAUCAGGAGGAACACCGAUGGCGAAGGCAGAUCUCUGGGCCGUAACUGACGCUGAGGAGCGAAAGGGUGGGGAGCAAACAGGCUUAGAUACCCUGGUAGUCCACCCCGUAAACGUUGGGAACUAGUUGUGGGGUCCAUUCCACGGAUUCCGUGACGCAGCUAACGCAUUAAGUUCCCCGCCUGGGGAGUACGGCCGCAAGGCUAAAACUCAAAGGAAUUGACGGGGACCCGCACAAGCGGCGGAGCAUGCGGAUUAAUUCGAUGCAACGCGAAGAACCUUACCAAGGCUUGACAUAUACGAGAACGGGCCAGAAAUGGUCAACUCUUUGGACACUCGUAAACAGGUGGUGCAUGGUUGUCGUCAGCUCGUGUCGUGAGAUGUUGGGUUAAGUCCCGCAACGAGCGCAACCCUCGUUCUAUGUUGCCAGCACGUAAUGGUGGGAACUCAUGGGAUACUGCCGGGGUCAACUCGGAGGAAGGUGGGGAUGACGUCAAAUCAUCAUGCCCCUUAUGUCUUGGGCUUCACGCAUGCUACAAUGGCCGGUACAAAGGGCUGCAAUACCGCGAGGUGGAGCGAAUCCCAAAAAGCCGGUCCCAGUUCGGAUUGAGGUCUGCAACUCGACCUCAUGAAGUCGGAGUCGCUAGUAAUCGCAGAUCAGCAACGCUGCGGUGAAUACGUUCCCGGGUCUUGUACACACCGCCCGUCAAGUCAUGAAAGUCGGUAACACCUGAAGCCGGUGGCCUAACCCUUGUGGAGGGAGCCGUCGAAGGUGGGAUCGGUAAUUAGGACUAAGU